GAAUAAGAUGUGGUUGUGAAAUAAGGGAUAUCUUUCUCUGGUAACAGAGGUGUAGGGGAACUGUUAGAUCAGGGCUUGAAGUGGUGAUGGAGCACCUGCUGAAGGAGGCACAGGCAAAGUGUUUGCACCUGUGCUCCCCAGCUGGCCAGAAGGGGCAGACCCAGGGGGAAAACACCAGUGAGCUCAUAUGAGGGCCAGCCAUGGAAGGGAGAGCAUCUCUUGGAGCUGGGGCUUCCUGAGGAGGGGUGCUGCAUGGCCACAGAGCUCCUUUAUCUGUUGGGAGUUCUUUGUGCCUCCAAGUAUGUCCUUUGGAAACGAUCUUGUGAGAAUUUAAUUUAAUACCAGCUGUACAUUCCUCCUGGGUUUUCAUGUAAUCUCUAUCAACAAAGAGUCUGGCCUGUUUUCCCCACUUGGUGCAUGAACCAAUUUGGAGGCAUUUGAGUGCUCCAUCCGAGUACGAGCUCUGUAGGGUCUCGAGCAGUACAUUUCCUUUUAAAUACCGUAAUUGAGGCCCUGAAAUUCCUUUAAGCGCUUUAUUUUAGGAAAUAGCUGGGGUUUUGGAACGCGGUCCUAUAAAGUCAUAUAAAGUUAUUGAGGCACUUUGCAGUUUUAGGAGACUUCUAGCCUCUUGAAUUGGAGCUCUGCUAUCGGUAUGCACGAGGGCUCUUCCUGCACGCAGCAGCAAUUGCGCUGCCGACCUGCAGCACUUAAAUCACGCCGGGCGCGUUAGCUCUCAGUUAGAGCACUGCAAAAUGGGAAUGCAGGGUUUUAUGGCCCUUCAUGAAUAGGGCUAUGAACCUGUCACUCGUGAGGUUUUACAAAAUGUCCCAAUAAGAAGGGAAGCCGUGCUUGGUGGCAUUUUAUGCAGGUGGGUAUUGGUAUUGAACUCAGCUGCCAGUGCCUCCUGGGAAAGCCUCACAGUUCUCUGUGUACAGCUGAAUGUCACCAGUACCAGUGGCGUUCUUCCCUUUUCAUCUCCAUCUCUUGCUGCCUGUGUAAGAGUGCAGGAAAACCCCGUGUCAGCCCUGUGGGAUAGAUCAGGGCUGAUCUCAAUGCCAAGGAACCUGUGUUUGGGUGAAAACAAAGCAAAUCCUUUGCAUUCUGCUGUCGCUUCCUCCUGCAAUAGAAUCAUAAGCUUCUUCAGAUUGGAAAAGACCACUAAGAUCACUUAGUCUGACACAGCCCUGCCCAUGUGGCCAUGUCCCUUAGUACCUCAUCUCCACCUUUCUUCAACACUUCCAGGGAUGCUGAUUCCAGCAAUGCUCUGGACAGGUGUUCAUACACUGAGAAACAAAAGAAAAAAAUGAGAGGAAACACAUAAUUUUGGAACCAAGACUGUUGGCAGAAAACAAGUUGGGUGCAUCAGUUGCAUCCUUUGGUUCAGCUUCAUGGGAAGCAGAAUGGCAAAUAAAUGGGGUGAAGAGCCAUGCUCGUGUGUGAGCUUACUGCCAGAGGCAUAUCUGUGUCCAGAGGAAUUCUUUGUGCAGGAAGGGAAGCCAAAAAUCAAAUCAGUUGGAAGGAAAAUCAGCAGCUAAAAUAUAUACUUUUAAUAAAGGAAGAAAGCAAAGAUACCCUCGCUACUCGAGGAUUGUUUCGAUCUUCCUAUUUUGCAAUGCCUUUGGGUCUCUAAUGACUUUGUGAGCCUGUGUGCAGCCAUAAAUCUGUCUCCUCAAUAGACUGUGCGGGCAGGCUCAGUUUUCCUGCUCUGGUACACAUGAUGCUUUUGAUACACAUGAUGCUAUUAUCCCAUCCUCGUAGUAGUGCUUAGGAUAGCAUUUCAGUUCAGAGCAUGACAGCUUAGGGCAGAUUCCUCCACCAUACUAACUUACAGCAUGUAGGUUUGGUUCACAGCCCAUCCUUGCUCUGCAUAAGUAAUUAAUGUAAUUGGUGCAGUCUUGGUCCAGGGCAUACUCCCUGCGUGUGAUUGGCUGACGGUAGGCUCAGAGCAGCAAAUUUAUAACUCAGUUUGUACAUCCUCUUAGUGUCUCUGUUUGGGGAAUUUUAGGUGAUGAGAUGUACAGAUUUUUAAGCAAGGAUUAAAAAAAUAAUUAGGAAAUAAUGAAUUGUUUGGAAUAUAUCAACAGAACAAUGUUAUGUAAAAGAAACAAAUUCAAGUAAUAUGCAUGUCUAAAUAAAGCAGUGAGGUUUAAACAGUGCUAUUCUGUUCUUACUGGGAAGACAUGUUUUGGAAUGAAAAAGUAGAAAUAAUUAUCU